rnacentral:rRNA from 1 species
GUGGAUUAGAUACCCUGGUAGUCCACGCCGUAAACGGUGGGCGCUAGGUGUGGGGACCAUUCCACGGUUUCCGUGCCGCAGCUAACGCAUUAAGCGCCCCGCCUGGGGAGUACGGCCGCAAGGCUAAAACUCAAAGGAAUUGACGGGGGCCCGCACAAGCGGCGGAGUAUGUUGCUUAAUUCGAUGCAACGCGAAGAACCUUACCAAGGCUUGACAUAUACCGAAAACUCAUAGAGAUAUGGGGUCCUUUUGGGCGGUAUACAGGUGGUGCAUGGCCGUCGCCAACU